GCCAGGCAUGGUGGCACAUGCCUGUAAUCCCAGUGGCUAGGGAGGCUGAGGAAGGAGGAUUGCGAGUUCAAAGCCAGCAUCAACAAAACUGAGGCGCUUAGCAAUUCAGUGAGACCCUGUCUCUA
rnacentral:sRNA from 1 species